rnacentral:sRNA from 13 species
AUACAAUAAGACUAAUAUAAUAUUUUAAGAGUAACAAACAAGAAUAUAAAAGCAUUUGUAUCACUAAACUAACUUUAAAGCUUUCCUCGACGGAUCCGUCCAUGAUUAACAAAUGUUACAACCCAAAUUUAUCUUGUUGGAAAACGUAAAAAAAAACUAGAAAUCUUGUAACGGAUAGUGUAGCUAAGGCUAACAGGUUUUAUGGGUAGGUCAUUAAGAAUACUGAGCUUAAAAUCGAUAUGGACAGUGACUUUAAAAGCUUUAUUUUUCUCCUAUUCGACCAUGUUUCUCACUAUAAAUAUGCUUCAAAAAGAAGUUCAAAUGUGACCAACCUACAGCAGAGAAGGCUCUGUUUUCAGUGUAAAGUGAUUUAGUUGUACACAAUUAUAGGCUUGCAUGGGUUUCAAAGCAAAAUGUAUUGUCUGCUUCAUUGUAUGGACACAAUUUAAGUAUCUAGCGGCUCAAUGUCCUGGCGGUUGGUUUGGCAGCAAGUGUCAGUAUAUGUGCCACUGUGACAAAAAUUCACAAUGCAAUAAGGAUGGUAGCUGUCCAACAAAAUGUAACACUGGUUGGUUUGGUGGAGGAUGCCAAUAUGGUAAGACUUAGUUACCAAUGCUUGCUACAUAUAUUGUAUUAUAUUAAAUUAUAGGGUUUGUAAAAAAAAUGAAUACACACUUUAAACUGUCAU